UCCUGGUUCUCUGCCCAUGCCUGUUGCCUCCUUGGCCCCUCCUGCUGGCCAUCUCCAGAUGCAACAGGCUCUUGGCUUACUUGUUGGCCUGUGGCCCAUCCGGGCAACUCCUGACCGUGGUUGUAAUCGUGGCUGUGUUGGGUGGUUAGACACCGGGUGUUGAUUUGAGCAUCAGCCUCCAGAUUCAUCUGAUCCAGCCUUCAGCAGCUCCUUCCUCUUCUCCCUCUCUCUCUCUGCCCGGGUCAUGGUGGAUGUUAGCCUUGUGUGUCCAGGGAUGGCUGGGAGGGGAGAAGAAGUAGAGUUUACAUUCAACUUAGUGGAUCUGGUAUCAACUUAAAUGUAAUGGACACAGGGAAUGAAGAAUAGAAAACACAAUUGGAUCUCAAUGAUUCUUUACUCUUUUCAGUUGAGCAAGGCAUGGAAUGUGUCAAUAAAGUGCAAUAAUUCCCA